GACGAACGCUGGCGGCGGGCUUAACACAUGCAAGUCGAACGGAAAGGCCCCUUUGGGGUUCCUCUAGUGGCGAACGGGUGAGUAACACGUGAGUAACCUUCCCUUGACUUCGUUAUAACUUCAGUAAACUGGGGCUAAUACCGGAUAGGAAUCCUUGCUGCAUGGUGGGGGUUGGAAAGCUUCGGCGGUUUUGGAUGGACUGGCGGCUUAUUAGCUUGUUGGUGGGUUAGUGGCUUACCAGGGCAUUGACGGGUAGCCGGCCUGAUGGGGUGAGCGGCCACACUGGGACUGAGAGACGGCCCAGACUCCGACGAGAGGCAGCAGUGGGGAAUAUUGCACCAUGGGCGGAGGGCGGAUGCAGCAACGCCGCGUGUGGGAUGACGGCCUUCGGGUUGUAAACCGCUUGCAGCAGGGGCGAAGCUUGUGGUGACGGUACCUGCAGAAGAAGCACCGGCUAACUACGUG
rnacentral:rRNA from 1 species